UCAGCUGUCACGAUGCCUUCUU
rnacentral:miRNA from 1 species